AAGUCACAACCCUCAGCAACAUAUAUACUAAGAUAGGAAUAAUGUGGAGAAUAUUAGCAUGAUCCCUGUGCAAGGAUGACAAGCAAAUUUGUGAAGCAUUCCAUAUAAUG